rnacentral:rRNA from 1 species
GGCGAACGGGUGAGUAAUAUAUCGGAACGUGCCCAGUCGUGGGGGAUAACGCAGCGAAAGCUGUGCUAAUACCGCAUACGAUCUCUGGAUGAAAGCGGGGGACUCGCAAGAGCCUCGCGCGAUUGGAGCGGCCGAUAUCAGAUUAGCUAGUUGGUGGGGUAAAAGCCCACCAAGGCGACGAUCUGUAGCUGGUCUGAGAGGACGACCAGCCACACUGGAACUGAGACACGGUCCAGACUCCUACGGGAGGCAGCAGUGGGGAAUUUUGGACAAUGGGCGCAAGCCUGAUCCAGCAAUGCCGCGUGCAGGAUGAAGGCCUUCGGGUUGUAAACUGCUUUUGUACGGAACGAAACGGUCCUUUCUAAUACGAGGGGCUAAUGACGGUACCGUAAGAAUAAGCACCGGCUAACUACGUGCCAGCAGCCGCGGUAAUACGUAGGGUGCGAGCGUUAAUCGGAAUUACUGGGCGUAAAGCGUGCGCAGGCGGUGAUGUAAGACAGAUGUGAAAUCCCCGGGCUCAACCUGGGACCUGCAUUUGUGACUGCAUCGCUAGAGUACGGUAGAGGGGGAUGGAAUUCCGCGUGUAGCAGUGAAAUGCGUAGAUAUGCGGAGGAACACCGAUGGCGAAGGCAAUCCCCUGGACCUGUACUGACGCUCAUGCACGAAAGCGUGGGGAGCAAAC